rnacentral:rRNA from 1 species
AAAAAGCUCGUAGUUGGAUUUCUGUCGAAGACGGCCGGUCCGCUCUUUGAGCGUGUAUCUGAUUCGGCUUUGGUAUCCUCGUGGGGUACGUAACUGUGCUUGAUUGCAUGGUGCGGAAUUCACGACUUUUACUUUGAGGAAAUUAGAGUGUUCACGGCAGGCAUGAGCCUUGAAUACAUUAGCAUGGAAUAAUAAUAUAGGACUUUGGUUUUAUUUUGUUGGUUUCUAGAACUAAAGUAAUGAUUAAUAGGGAUAAUUGGGGGCAUUUGUAUUAACGCGUCAGAGGUGGAAUUCUUGGAUUGCGUUACGACAAACUACUGCGAAAGCAUUUGCCAAGGAUGUUUUCAUUGAUCAAGAACGAAAGUAUGGGGAUCGAAGAUGAUUAGAUACCGUCGUAGUCUAUACCAUAAACUAUGCCGACUAGAGAUUGGAGGUCGUUCUUUCUAUGACUCCUUCAGCACCUUAUGAGAAAUCAAAGUCUUUGGGUUCCGGGGGGAGUAUGGUCGCAAGGCUGAAACUUAAAGGAAUUGACGGAAGGGCACCACCAGGAGUGGAGCCUGCGGCUUAAUUUGACUCAACACGGGAAAACUCACCAGGUCCAGACAUAGUAAGGAUUGACAGAUUGAUAGCUC